UACGGAGGGUGCGAGCGUUGUUCGGAAUCACUGGGCGUAAAGGGCGUGUAGGCGGUCCGCUAAGUCUGAUGUGAAAGCCCGGGGCUCACCCCCGGAAGGGCAUUGGAAACUGACGGACUCGAGUCCCGAAGAGGAGGGUGGAAUUCCUGGUGUAGCGGUGAAAUGCGUAGAUAUCAGGAGGAACACCGGUGGCGAAGGCGGCCCUCUGGACGGUGACUGACGCUGAGACGCGAAAGCGUGGGGAGCAAACGGG
rnacentral:rRNA from 1 species